rnacentral:rRNA from 1 species
AACGAACGCUGGCGGCAGGCUUAACACAUGCAAGUCGAACGCCCCGCAAGGGGAGUGGCAGACGGGUGAGUAACGCGUGGGAAUCUACCCAGUUCUACGGAAUAACCCAGGGAAACUUGGACUAAUACCGUAUACGCCCUACGGGGGAAAGAUUUAUCGGAAUUGGAUGAGCCCGCGUUGGAUUAGCUAGUUGGUGGGGUAAUGGCCUACCAAGGCGACGAUCCAUAGCCGGUCUGAGGGGAUGAUCAGCCACACUGGGACUGAGACACGGCCCAGACUCCUACGGGAGGCAGCAGUGGGGAAUAUUGGACAAUGGGCGAAAGCCUGAUCCAGCCAUGCCGCGUGAGUGAUGAAGGCCUUAGGGUUGUAAAGCUCUUUCAGUGGGGAAGAUAAUGACGGUACCCACAGAAGAAGCCCCGGCUAACUUCGUGCCAGCCGCCGCAGUAAGAC